UACGUAGGGUACAAGCGUUGUCCGGAAUCACUGGGCGUAAAGGGCGCGUAGGCGGCUCAUGAAGGCUGUGGUGAAAGUCCGGGGCUCAACCUCGGAUCGGCCGUGGCGACUCGUGGGCUGGAGCACUGUAGAGGCGGGUGGAAUUCCGGGUGUAGCGGUGGAAUGCGUAGAGAUCCGGAAGAACACCAGUGGCGAAGGCGGCCCGCUGGGCAGUGGCUGACGCUGAAGCGCGACAGCGUGGGGAGCAACAGG
rnacentral:rRNA from 1 species